CAAUACGGGGGUGGCAGACGGGUGAGUAACGCGUGGGAACGUGCCCUUCGGUUCGGAAUAACUCAGGGAAACUUGAGCUAAUACCGGAUACGUCCGUAAGGAGAAAGAUUUAUCGCCGAAGGAUCGGCCCGCGUCGGAUUAGCUAGUUGGUGAGGUAACGGCUCACCAAGGCGACGAUCCGUAGCUGGUCUGAGAGGAUGAUCAGCCACACUGGGACUGAGACACGGCCCAGACUCCUACGGGAGGCAGCAGUGGGGAAUAUUGGACAAUGGGCGCAAGCCUGAUCCAGCCAUGCCGCGUGAGUGAAGAAGGCCUUAGGGUUGUAAAGCUCUUUCAGCGGGGAAGAUAAUGACGGUACCCCCAGAAGAAGCCCCGGCUAACUUCGUGCCAGCAGCCGCGGUAAUACGAAGGGGGCUAGCGUUGUUCGGAUUUACUGGGCGUAAAGCGCGCGUAGGCGGAUCACUAAGUCAGGGGUGAAAUCCCGAGGCUUAACCUCGGAACUGCCUUUGAUACUGGUGAUCUGGAGAUCGGGAGAGGUUGGUGGAAUUCCGAGUGUAGAGGUGAAAUUCGUAGAUAUUCGGAGGAACACCAGAAGC
rnacentral:rRNA from 1 species